rnacentral:lncRNA from 1 species
UGGGAAAUUGACAUGAUUUCUUGUAGUCUUCUACCAGAUGUGUAAAGGAAUCUCCUAAUCUGGGAAGAUUUCCUAAUUGCUAAAGAUGACUAUUAUAGCUUUUUACAGAAACACAACCUCCUUUUAGAAAAAAAAAUUGCAUAACGGCUAAGUGAAAAUUCACAAGGCUGCCAGCAUACAUACUCAUGCUCAUUAAUGUGGCUGAAAACAGAGAGGUAAAUGUAAGUUUAAAUACUAAUUUCGUUAAUUAUCCAGCUGGGAAGUGAGUUUUUUCUUUCUUAAAUGAAUUGAACACAAAAUAUAUUCUGAGUUCCUUUUCUUUUUUCAAAUUAAAGACAUAUAGAUGAAGAUUACGAUGGACUUACUUUGAUCCUUAGAUGGAACCAUGACUUCAACUCUGUGAUUUGCAGAUGUCUUUCUGUAAUUCCUCCAUAUGUCAUCUGCCCAAUACACUGGACAGAUUCUUUUGAUUUUUCAAUAUUCUCUAUAUGACAAUGUGACAUAUGGACUAUCUAUCAAUCAUGCUUCACUUUAAAUAUAACACUGAUUUACUUCCUUUUCUUAUCAUACAUAUACUGCUACAUAAUGCAAUGCAACUCAACACAACAAAAUAUAAUACAUUGUAAAUAGCUCCAGCAUGAAAGGCAUUGCAUUAUGUGGUGUAGUUGAGGCAGAGCCGUAAGGGUUAAAACCUCCUCUUCUCCCUGCUUGGGCUGCAUAGUCAAGGCCGUGGGUUGAACUGUGUACGGCCUGCCCAGCUGCAUGCUCAAGGUUGGAAUAGUCAGCAGAGGGAGGAUUGAUGAGAUGAGGAAACCGAGGGUUAGAGAGAUUGAAAGCCUAACUCAAGAUCUCACAGUAAGUACUGAAGCUAGAAAUAGAAUGCAGAAAAGUAAAGGAAAUAAGAAAAACUAGAUUCUCAGGAUUUGAAAUAAUCUAAUUUGUUGCUUUACAACCUCCUACACUGGUUAUAGAAAUUAUGUAAUAGCACUUUAGAAACCGGAAAUGACUGUCUUCUAUUUUCUCUUCUAUAGGAUGUCACCAGUUUUUUCAAAUUAUCUUUGGAGUCCUUUCAGCACUCUGACUUCUAACCUAUGAAAGAACAAUAGUUUUUCUCAUUUUCACUUCUCCCAGAACUGAGCAGAAUUUGCCCAGAAAUAGAAUGCAAGAUUGACCCUUGCCUCGUUCUUGACCUUAGGAUUCUUUUCUGUUUGUUUGUUUAUUUUGCUUAUUUUUUAAAAAAUUUUCCAUGGAUGGAGUCUGGAACAACCUCCAGGAAGUGAUGCAGAGCGAAAGGAGCAGAACCAGGAAAUCAUUAUACACAGAGACUGAUACACUGUGGUACAAUAGAAGGUAAUGGACUUCUCCAUUAGGGACAACGCAAUGUCCCUGAACAAUCUGCAGGGAUCUAAAAAACACUAUCCACAAGCAGAGGACAAACUGAGGGAGUAAAAACACCGAGGAAACGCAACUGCUUGACUACAGGGGUGGAGGGGCUAUGACUGAGGAGAGACUCUAAAUGAACACUCUAAUGCAAAUACGAACAACCCGGAAAUAGGUUCGAGUCAAGAACACAUGUGAUACCCAGUGGAAUCAUGCGUCGGCUAUCGGAGAGGUGUGGGGGGGGAGGGAGGAAAAGAAAAUGAUUUUUGUUUCCAAUGAAUAAUGUUUGGAAAUGACCGAAUAAAAUAAUGUUUAAAAUUUUUUUCCA